GGAGGUUGGCUUAGAAGCAGCCAUCCUUGAAAGAGUGCGUAAUAGCUCACUGGUUAAGUGGUGAUGCGCCGAUAAUGUAGUGGGGCUAAAGUACACCGCCGAAACCGCGGCAACACACGUGUGUGUGUUGGGUAGGGGAGCGUCGUGCAUGCUGGGAAGCUGUCAUGUAAAUGGUGGUGGAGUGUGUGCGAGUGAGAAUGCAGGCAUGAGUAGCGAAAAACAUGUGGAAAACGUGUUCGCCGGAUGACUAAGGGUUCCUGGGUGAAGCUAAUCUUCCCAGGGUGAGUCGGGACCUAAGGCGAGGCCGACAGGCGUAGUCGAUGGAUAACGGGUUGAUAGUCCCGUACCCGUGUAUACGCGACCAGUGGUGACUCGGUUGUACUAACCACCCACUACCGCGGGAUCAAUGCUUUUGGUGUUGGUUUGGUGUGUGGUGCGUGGGAUCUUGAUCGUUGGUAGCCAAGCGAUGGGGUGACACAGAUUGGUAGUCAAGGCCACUGAGUGGAUUGUGGUGUAAGCGUGUGGCCCGCAGGAUAGGUAAAUCCGUUCUGCAUAUAGGGUGAGGCGUGAUGCGUACCCAGGUUUGGGGAUGUUUGAUGUGCCUGUGCUGUCGAGAAAAGCCUCUAGCGAUGUGUGUGCACGGCCCGUACCGGAAACCGACACAGGUGGUCUGGUUGAGGAUACUAAGGCGUUCGGGUGAACUAUGGUUAAGGAACUCGGCAAAAUGCCCCCGUAACUUCGGGAGAAGGGGGGCCAUGUGCGGCAAUCACCCUGUGCGGUGUGCGUUGUGUGUGGCCGCAGAGAAGUGAGGGAAGCGACUGUUUAUUAAAAACACAGGUCCGUGCGAAGACGUUGCAAGUCGAGGUAUACGGACUGACGCCUGCCCGGUGCUGGAAGGUUAAGAGGACUCGUGAGCACAUCCUGGUGGUGUGUGAGGCGGGUAAUUGAAGCCCCAGUAAACGGCGGUGGUAACUAUAACCAUCCUAAGGUAGCGAAAUUCCUUGUCGGGUAAGUUCCGACCUGCACGAAUGGCGUAACGACUUCCCUGCUGUCUCAACCAUAGGCCCGGUGAAAUUGCAGUACGAGUAAAGAUGCUCGUUUCGCGCGGCAGGACGAAAAGACCCCGGGACCUUUACUAUAGCUUGGUAUUGGUGUGUGCUGCAGCUUGUGUAGGAUAGGUGGGAGACUGGGAAGCAUUCACGCUAGUGGGUGUGGAGUCGAUUGGUGAAAUACCACUCUGGUUGUUGUGUGCAUCUAACUGUGGGCCCUGAUCGGGUUUUGGGACAGUGCCUGGUGGGUAGUUUAACUGGGGCGGUUGCCUCCUAAAAGGUAACG
rnacentral:rRNA from 1 species